AUUUAGAUAGCUUAAAAAUAGAGCAUAAUAUUGAAGAUAUUAAGGUAAUAUAUUUAUUUCUAAAUA
rnacentral:tRNA from 1 species